rnacentral:tRNA from 1 species
AUUUAAAUAGUUUAAUUAAAAUACUGAUUUGUGGUGUCAGAGAUAUAUAUAUAUAUUAUUUUAAAUA